rnacentral:rRNA from 1 species
AUUGAACGCUGGCGGCAGGCCUAACACAUGCAAGUCGAACGAGUGGCGGACGGGUGAGUAAUGUCUGGGAAACUGCCUGAUGGAGGGGGAUAACUACUGGAAACGGUAGCUAAUACCGCAUACCAUCGGAUGUGCCCAGAUGGGAUUAGUUAGUAGGGGGGGUAAAGGCUCACCUAGGCGACGAUCCCUAGCUGGUCUGAGAGGAUGACCAGCGCAAGUCGAACUAAGACACGGUCCAGAAUCCCACGGGGGGCAGCAGUGUGGAAUAUUGCACAAUGGGGUCAAGCCUGAUGCAGCAAUGCCGCGUUUAUGAAGCAGGCCUUCGGGUUGUAAAGUAGUUUCAGCGGGGAGGCGUUACCCGCAGAAGAAGCACCGGCUAACUCCGUGCCAUCAGCCGCGGUAAUUC